GAAAAGAUCAGCCAAGUUUGUUAUCAAACUCUGGUCCACGCACAUGCAACGGAUAUGCACUGCAAACUGCACGUACAUCCAACACAUGCGCAUAGACCAGAGCUAGUCGUCUACUAUGCAUACCUUCAUAUACAGUCAUUGAUGCAUUCAGAGAAAGAUUUGCCUGCAAUAUAGCAACAACUUUACUUUGUGUGUGUGGUCUCCUCUGCGCGGUCACCGUCCACACAGCACAGUUGACACCAAGACAAGGACUUCCGACGUCGCUGGCAGUCUUCAUGCCCGAUUCUCCCAUGACCUCCCCACUGAAGUGAGUGUGACCUGUGUACUGGGCACUAGAAGAGAGGCAGUAACACUGAAUCAGAUCCAUGUGACAAGCACAGGGAAGGCAUCCAGGCUCUGCAGGGACUGCCGGGCUUUGGGAUGCCCCUCAUGGAGAGACACGUUUAGGGAGAAGACUACGGG